UACGGAGGGUGCAAGCAUUGAUCGGAAUUACUGGGCGUAAAGGGCGCGUAGGCGGCUCGAUAAGUCGGAUGUGAAAUUCCGGGGCUCAACCCCGGAGCGGCAUUUGAAACUGUCGAACUAGAGUACAGUUAGGGUAAACGGAAUUCCUCGUGUAGCGGUGAAAUGCGUAGAUAUGAGGAAGAACACCGGUGGUGAAGACGGUUUACUGGGCUGUAACUGACGCUGAGGCGCGAAAGCAUGGGGAGCAAACAGG
rnacentral:rRNA from 1 species